GUUUGCAAUUUGAGGUUUUUAUUGCAAGUUGUGGAACCCUGCUCCUGUUAAAGGGAUUACAGACAAUUCCAGAAUUCUCUGGAAAAGGGCCCUUGGGAGCAGGGUCUUAUAGGCAUAAUCCUGGAACUGAGCCAUGUCCUCAUGCCUCAUGGGCUAGCUCUCUGGGCCUGUCCCUACAGUCCUCAAGGCCAGUGUUUCCCAGAGCAGUCCUCAUUUAAAUAUUCUACUCUGUGUAUCAAACCAUUUUCUUGAUUUGCUGGGUUUGGUUUGGGAAACAUAAUUAUGUCGGUGUAUAGCAGACACUUAAUUCUCGUUUUAAUGGAGUUGUUCAUUGGCAAUACAUAUAGGCAGCAGACCCAAGUGUCUUUAUCUGUUGGUACUAAGUUGGCUCUCUAUCCUUCCUGGGGUAUCAGGGACUCCUGACCCUGUUGAAGUCUCCAUGACUAGAGCAUUGUACCUUGCUAAGCAUAUUCAUAGCAGGCUCAACCCCCUGUAGCAAUAUUAUCUUUCUGUCUAUCUAUCUAAAAUCUAUUCAACUAUCCAUUAUAAAGAAAAUGGAGAGAACAGAAGGCUUUCACACAUUUUCUUUACACAGGUCAAGAUUUUGGAUAGCUCUUCCUACCAUGUCCCUUCAAGAGGCUGGGCUUAAUAACAUUUAGGACAAAAUGAGAAACCCCACCUCUUUCCACAAUGCUGCAUGGUAGAAAGGUCUCUUGAGAUUUGCUCUUGCAGGCUGCUAGCAUUUCGUUUUGAUGUUAUUGCUGCUGUUCUGGGUUUUAAAUGAAAAUUUUUAUUGAAAUGAAAAUUUUUACUGUGUUUGUGGACUGGCUUUUAGCAAAGGCUGCAGUUUAAGAAAGUCUAAUAAAUGAAUGAGAGAUGUGUAUAAAGAGAAUUAAAACUGAAACCUGGUCAACUCACACUUGCAGAGCAUUUCAUAAAACACGAGAGAAUCUGAUGCUGUUUUGGAAAGUGACGUGCCUGACAAACUGGAGAACUAGCCUGGGCCUCUCUUUCAGAACUAUUACAAACCACAAAAGUCUGUACUUUCUGUGUUGGUUUGGAGUGAGGUUACAAGGCCAUGUAAACUUCAGAAGACCUCUCUGGGAACAUUCCACGGGCCUCCAUCCUUACGUGAUUGGCCCUGACCCACCUGUCAGGAAAGAGGGAUUUGGACACUAUGUUGCCACAUGA
rnacentral:lncRNA from 1 species